AUGGGAACCGGGGCGCCGGUCUCCGCGGCGACCUCGUCCCCCGGGAGGGGGCGGAGCCGGAGGCCGGGAGGGCCAAUGGGCGGAGGGGAGCGCCGGGAGGGGGCGGGCUUGAGUGACGGCAGCGGGGGCGGGGCCGGGGCUGCGCGGGGCGGGGCCGGGGCUGCGGGGGGCGGGGCCGGGGCUGCGGGGGCGGGGCCGGGGGCGGGGCCGCGCGGCUGCCUGCGGCGCCGCGGGGGCUGUGCUAGUAGCUGCGGCGGCCGUGGUGCGGCGAGGGUCCCACGCCAUGCUCGCGGCCCCCGGCGCCCGUCUCGCUGGCGCGCUGCGCUCGCUCGCCCCCCGCUCCGCCUCGGCCCGGUCGGCAGCGCUCGGAGCCCGCUGCAGGAGCUGAGCCGGCCCGCGCCGUCCCGCGCCGGAGGCUGUGGCUGCAGAGGCUCUGGGAGGCGCGCCGAGCGCGGGAGGGCGGAGAGGGUGCUCGGCGCUCCGGGGUCCGGCGGUCGGCGGGGGCCGCCGCGGAGGGGCGUUUCCGAGGCGAGGAGGAGAAGGAGAUGCGGCUCCCCUUCCCCCCGUCCCCAGGCUCCUUCUUCGGCUCCCCCGGCGCACGCCCGCAGCAGCUCCGCGAAGCGGCGGUGGCCCUCGGCGCCCGAGGCUGCAGCCGGCGGCCCGCCCCGACGCCGCGUCCCCUCGGCCCUUGCUUCGCGCCGCAGUAGCAGGACCGGGUCUCCGGGAGACGGGGUAAGGACGGGAGCGGCCCGGGGCUCUGGCGUGCAUCUGCAGAGGCGCAAAGCAAAGUGCACCGCGCUCCUCUGCGCCUUCUCCCCGCCCCCCCCCCUGCUCGCUCAGCUUCUGCCCUGGGCCCCCGAGCCGGCUCCUCUGUGGCCCUGCGGGAGAACGAACUUCGCUUUGCUUUCCGUGGUGGGGUGGCCGGGAUGGGGGAGGAUGGGGGAGGAUGGGAUGAACCUCCAUUGUGCAUUAGGUGGAUCCGCCUUCUCCGCGGAGGAAGGCCGGAUUCCUGGGGGAGCCAGAGAUUGGGAGGUAGCAGGGGGUGACCUCGCCCCAUCGUGCUGCUCCGGCUCUGCGCCGUGCGGGCCACGGGAGGGGAUCCCGGAGUCUGUUUCUAAUUUCUGUAAAUGGCUGUGGACAUGCUGUGGUCAGAGGCCGCCCAGAAGAAUGUGUGUGUGUGUAAGGGCUCAGAGCGGAGGGGGCGGGAAAGGAGGAAGACGGGCCGAGGGAGAGACACUGCCUGAUGCAAGCUCUUUUAUUGCUUCUCUUCUCCUUGCCUCUGUUAAAUCUCGCCACCCCCCUCCCACCCCGCCUUUGCUCUUUGCAGGAUUCUUAGUACGGAAAGCUAAAGCUUGCUAA
rnacentral:lncRNA from 1 species